UUUGACCACAGCUCUUUCUGAUCUCUGAAU
rnacentral:piRNA from 1 species